rnacentral:rRNA from 1 species
GAUGAACGCUGGCGGCGUGCCUAAUACAUGCAAGUCGAGCGAACAGAUAAGGAGCUUGCUCCUUUGACGUUAGCGGCGGACGGGUGAGUAACACGUGGGUAACCUACCUAUAAGACUGGAAUAACUCCGGGAAACCGGGGCUAAUGCCGGAUAACAUGUUGAACCGCAUGGUUCUACAGUGAAAGGCGGCUUUGCUGUCACUUAUAGAUGGACCCGCGCCGUAUUAGCUAGUUGGGGAGGUAACGGCUCACCAAGGCAACGAUACGUAGCCGACCUGAGAGGGUGAUCGGCCACACUGGAACUGAGACACGGUCCAGACUCCUACGGGAGGCAGCAGUAGGGAAUCUUCCGCAAUGGGCGAAAGCCUGACGGAGCAACGCCGCGUGAGUGAUGAAGGUCUUCGGAUCGUAAAACUCUGUUAUUAGGGAAGAACAAAUGCGUAAGUAACUGUGCGCGUCUUGACGGUACCUAAUCAGAAAGCCACGGCUAACUACGUG